rnacentral:rRNA from 1 species
AACGAACGCUGGCGGCAGGCCUAACACGUGCAAGUCGAGCGAAGCCUUGGGGCUUAGCGGCGGACGGGUGAGUAACGCGUGGGAACGUGCCCUUUGGUACGGAAUAGCCCCGGGAAACUGGGAGUAAUACCGUAUGUGGUCGAGAGACGAAAGAUUUAUCGCCAAAGGAUCGGCCCGCGUUGGAUUAGGUAGUUGGUGGGGUAAUGGCCUACCAAGCCGACGAUCCAUAGCUGGUUUGAGAGGAUGAUCAGCCACACUGGGACUGAGACACGGCCCAGACUCCUACGGGAGGCAGCAGUGGGGAAUCUUAGACAAUGGGGGAAACCCUGAUCUAGCCAUGCCGCGUGAUCGAUGAAGGCCUUAGGGUUGUAAAGAUCUUUCAGUGGGGAAGAUAAUGACUGUACCCACAGAAGAAGCCCCGGCUAACUCCGUGCCAGCAGCCGCAGUAA